rnacentral:rRNA from 1 species
CCCUUAGAUGUCCUGGGCCGCACGCGCGCUACACUGAGUGUCUGAGAUACGAGUCUGCCUGGUCCGGCAAGGUCUAGGUAAUCGCUAAAAGACACAUCAUGCUUGGGAUAGAUUAUUGCAAAUAUUAAUCUUGAACGAGGAAUGCCUAGUAGGCGCAAGUCAUCAGCUUGCGUCGAUUACGUCCCUGCCCUUUGUACACACCGCCCGUCGCUCCUACCGAUUGGGUGUGCUGGUGAAAUGUUCGGAUCGGCCGUUUGUCGCGGUUUCCGCGUCAUGUGGCUGAGAAGUUCAUUAAACCCUCCCACCUAGAGGAAGGAGAAGUCGUAACA